AGAGCGAACGCUGGCGGCGUGCUUAACACAUGCAAGUCGAACGAGGACUGUAGCAAUACAGUUACUCGUGGCGAACGGGUGCGUAACACGUGGAUAACCUUCCUUCAGGUGGGGAAUAACCCAGUGAAAAAUUGGGCUAAUACCGCAUAACAAUGCGAGGGCACAUGCUCUUGCUUUCAAAGGCGCAAGUCGCCAGAGGAUGGACUCGCGGCCUAUCAGCUAGUUGGUGGAGUAACGGCCCACCAAGGCGACGACGGGUA
rnacentral:rRNA from 1 species